rnacentral:ncRNA from 1 species
AAUGGGUGUGCCGAAAACCAUUAGAAACGAGUAGGCA